rnacentral:rRNA from 1 species
UACCAUGCAAGUCGAACGAGAAAGCCCGCUUCGGUGGGUGAGUAAAGUGGCGCACGGGUGAGUAACACGUGGGUUACCUGCCCUCCAGCGGGGGAUAACACACCGAAAGGUGUGCUAAUACCGCAUAAUACUACAUUGUCUAUAAUGGUGUAGUCAAAGGUGGCUUCGGCUACCACUGGGGGAUGGGCCCGCGGACCAUUAGCUUGUUGGUAGGGUAAAGGCCUACCAAGGCUACGAUGGUUAGCUGGUCUGAGAGGACGAUCAGUCACACUGGAACUGGAACACGGUCCAGACUCCUACGGGAGGCAGCAGUGAGGAAUAUUGCGCAAUGGGGGGAACCCUGACGCAGCAACGCCGCGUGAGUGAAGAAGGCCUUCGGGUUGUAAAGCUCUGUCAGAGUCGAAGAAACAGUUAUGGACUAAUAAUCCAUAGCCCUGACGGUAGACCCAAAGGAAGCACCGGCUAACUCCGUGCCAGCAGCCGCGGUAAUACGGAGGGUGCGAGCGUUGUUCGGAAU